UGAGAAUAUGCAUGGUAUCACUGUGCCC
rnacentral:piRNA from 1 species